CCUACGGGAGGCAGCAGUGGGGGAUAUUGCACAAUGGGGGAAACCCUGAUGCAGCGACGCCGCGUGUGGGAAGACGGUCCUCUGGAUUGUAAACCACUGUCCCCAGGGACGAAGAUGACGGUACCUGGGGAGGAAGCUCCGGCUAACUACGUGCCAGCAGCCGCGGUAAUACGUAGGGAGCGAGCGUUGUCCGGAAGUACUGGGUGUAAGGGGAGCGUAGGCGGGACUGCAAGUUGGGUGUCAAAUCUACCGGCUCAACCGGUAGCCGCACUCAAAACUGCAGUUCUUGAGUGAAGUAGAGGCAGGCGGAAUUCCUAGUGUAGCGGUGAAAUGCGUAGAUAUUAGGAGGAACACCAGUGGCGAAGGCGGCCUGCUGGGCUUUUACUGACGCUGAGGCUCGAAAGUGUGGGGAGCAAACAGGAUUAGAUACCCGAGUAGUC
rnacentral:rRNA from 1 species